ACCCAGCGCUGACCCUUACAGCAAGAAAGGAGAUGAGUUAGCAAUUUGAGUUUAUUAGUGGCCGCAGCUGAACCCGAGAGACAGACCACCGAAACUAUCAACGCAGAUAGCAACAGGUUGUACUGGGCAUAACCACUCGAAGAAAUUCCUAAGAUGUCAUGGAUGAAACUGCUUUCGGCAGCUAUAGUAGUGGCAGCUUUAGCCUACAAAAUAAGGGAAAAGGCCAUGGCAGAACCACCGAUACCAGAGCUGGACCCGGAUCCUUGGUGGGGACCGGGAGCACGCGAGAAGGGAGAUUCUUCCGUCAGGCCUUUCAAAAUUGAUAUUUCUAAUAAGGACCUCGAUGAUCUGAAGGCUCGGCUUGCCCUGCCCCUGCGCCUCACACCCCCGCUUGAGAAAGCCAACUUCACCUAUGGGAUGAACCAGGAUACCCUGAAAGAGAUAGUGCAGCAUUGGCGACUCAAAUACGACUGGAGGAAGAGAGAAACUCUCCUUAAUUUUUACCCUCAUUUCAUGACAAAAAUUGAAGGUUUAGAAAUCCACUUCAUGCGAGGUAAAGCCCAAACCAAAGGUGCCAAGGAUAUAAAAGUACUGCCACUCUUGCUGAUACACGGGUGGCCUGGCACCUUUGUGGAAUUUUAUGAUAUUAUGCUCCUCCUUACCACACCACAGGAGGACAGUAAUGUGGUGUUUGAAGUAAUAUGUCCUUCAAUUCCUGGAUAUGGAUUUUCUCAAGGCUCAGCCAAGCAAGGACUAGGCCAUAUGGAAACAGGACAGAUAUUCUUAAAGCUUAUGAAGAGGCUGGGAUAUGACCAGUUUUACCUUCAGGGAGGAGAUUGGGGCUCAAUCAUUGCAUCCAGUAUGGCUACCAUGUACCCUGAAAAUGUACUGGGUGUCCAUCUCAACAUGUUUGUGGCCAACACCCUUGGAACUAAUUUGAAGCUGAUCCUCGGAGCCUUUCUUCCAGCUGGUAUUGUCGUAUCUCACGAAGACCAGGAAAAACUCUAUCCUUUGACAGAAAAGAUUGGCAUGUUUGCACGUGAAACUGGCUAUCUUCACCUCCAGGCUACUAAACCAGAUACUAUUGGUGCAGCACUGAACCAAAGUCCUGUUAGUUUGGCUGCUUAUAUACUGGAGAAAUUCAGUUCCUGGACUCAUAAAGAUAAUUACAAAGAAGUUGAUGGUGGGCUUCUGCAUAAACACUUUCCCAUUGAUCUUGACAAAAUUUUGGACAAUAUAUGCAUUUAUUGGUUCACUGGGUCUAUCACCACAAGCAUGCGUUACUAUGCUGAAAAUUUCAGCCCAAAGAGCAUGGCAAACAAUGUCGAGAGUAUUCCAUGUCGUGUACCAUCGGCCAUGUCCGCCUUCCCUCACGACCUCCUUAACCAGCCUGAAAACUUUGUUGCUCACAAGUUCUACGAUAUUGUCAGCUACAGUGAUCAGUUAGUUGGUGGACAUUUUGCAGCCAUGGAGCGGCCAAAACUGCUUGCUAGAGAUUUCCACAAGUUUGUUAACAUUGUGGAAUCAAGAGUUAAAUAAAUACACCAAAGUAUUUUCUUAAAAUAAAAUUUAUAAAUAACUUUUAUAAUCCAACCACAAAUAUUUACAGCAGGCGAAAAGCACAAAUGAAAGAGAUUAUGUAUGAGCAAUAUAAAAAUUUAAAAGAACUAAAAGAUGUUUUAUGGAGAUGUGGAAGUAUUAAAGUAUCCUCUGUUUUAACAUUCAUAUGAUCGGUGGUUAUGAAUCUUUUAGGAUAAAUACAAUUUUUUUUUGCUUUAAUUUUCACAAGAGCAAUGGUUCUCAAACUUUUUUGUAACAAGGCACAUUAAAUCUUUACCCCACCAAUAUAUAUAUAUAUAUAUAUAUAUAUAUAUAUAUAUAUAUAUAUAUAUAUAUAUAUAUAAGUAUAUAUAAAUAAUGCACACAAAUACACAUCUAGAUGCUCACAAAUGAGUGAAACAUCCUUUUAUUGUUAACAUGAACAGUCUUUGGAAACAUGUUACAUCUUACUUGAACAAAUCACAUCUUAAUUUUUUUCUGUGGCAUAUGUGGGAGAUACUGAAGGCCACCGCAUCAGACAGACGAUGUUAUAACCCAUUACUCAUAAUCAUGCAUUAUUCUAUGGAUUUUAAGAAUUAAAAAAAAAAACAGUAAUAAAGUGGUACUUUAAA
rnacentral:misc_RNA from 1 species